rnacentral:rRNA from 1 species
GGCUCAGGAUGAACGCUAGCUACAGGCUUAACACAUGCAAGUCGAGGGGCAGCAUGGUCUUAGCUUGCUAAGGCCGAUGGCGACCGGCGCACGGGUGAGUAACACGUAUCCAACCUGCCGUCUACUCUUGGACAGCCUUCUGAAAGGAAGAUUAAUACAAGAUGGCAUCAUGAGUCCGCAUGUUCACAUGAUUAAAGGUAUUCCGGUAGACGAUGGGGAUGCGUUCCAUUAGAUAGUAGGCGGGGUAACGGCCCACCUAGUCUUCGAUGGAUAGGGGUUCUGAGAGGAAGGUCCCCCACAUUGGAACUGAGACACGGCCCAAACUCCUACGGGAGGCAGCAGUGAGGAAUAUUGGUCAAUGGGCGCAGGCCUGAACCAGCCAAGUAGCGUGAAGGAUGACUGCCCUAUGGGUUGUAAACUUCUUUUAUAAAGGAAUAAAGUCGGGUAUGGAUACCCGUUUGCAUGUACUUUAUGAAUAAGGAUCGGCUAACUCCGUGCCAGCAGCCGCGGUAAUACGGAGGAUCCGAGCGUUAUCCGGAUUUAUUGGGUUUAAAGGGAGCGUAGAUGGAUGUUUAAGUCAGUUGUGAAAGUUUGCGGCUCAACCGUAAAAUUGCAGUUGAUACUGGAUAUCUUGAGUGCAGUUGAGGCAGGCGGAAUUCGUGGUGUAGCGGUGAAAUGCUUAGAUAUCACGAAGAACUCCGAUUGCGAAGGCAGCCUGCUAAGCUGCAACUGACAUUGAGGCUCGAAAGUGUGGGUAUCAAACAGGAUUAGAUACCCUGGUAGUCCACACGGUAAACGAUGAAUACUCGCUGUUUGCGAUAUACUGCAAGCGGCCAAGCGAAAGCGUUAAGUAUUCCACCUGGGGAGUACGCCGGCAACGGUGAAACUCAAAGGAAUUGACGGGGGCCCGCACAAGCGGAGGAACAUGUGGUUUAAUUCGAUGAUACGCGAGGAACCUUACCCGGGCUUAAAUUGCAGAUGAAUUACGGUGAAAGCCGUAAGCCGCAAGGCAUCUGUGAAGGUGCUGCAUGGUUGUCGUCAGCUCGUGCCGUGAGGUGUCGGCUUAAGUGCCAUAACGAGCGCAACCCUUGUUGUCAGUUACUAACAGGUUCCGCUGAGGACUCUGACAAGACUGCCAUCGUAAGAUGUGAGGAAGGUGGGGAUGACGUCAAAUCAGCACGGCCCUUACGUCCGGGGCUACACACGUGUUACAAUGGGGGGUACAGAGGGCCGCUACCACGCGAGUGGAUGCCAAUCCCAAAAACCUCUCUCAGUUCGGACUGGAGUCUGCAACCCGACUCCACGAAGCUGGAUUCGCUAGUAAUCGCGCAUCAGCCACGGCGCGGUGAAUACGUUCCCGGGCCUUGUACACACCGCCCGUCAAGCCAUGGGAGCCGGGGGUACCUGAAGUGCGUAACCGCGAGGAGCGCCCUAGGGUAAAACUGGUGA